UGAGGAAUAUUGGACAAUGGGCGCAAGCCUGAUCCAGCAAUGCCGCGUGCAGGAUGAAGGCCUUCGGGUUGUAAACUGCUUUUGUACGGAGCGAAAAGGUCUGCCCUAAUACGGUGGGCUCAUGACGGUACCGUAAGAAUAAGCACCGGCUAACUACGUGCCAGCAGCCGCGGUAAUACGUAGGGUGCGAGCGUUAAUCGGAAUUACUGAGCGUAAAGCGUGCGCAGGCGGUUAUAUAAGACAGAUGUGAUAUCCCCGGGCUCAACCUGGGACCUGCAUUUGUGACUGUAUAGCUAGAGUACGGUAGAGGGGGAUGGAAUUCCGCGUGUAGCAGUGAAAUGCGUAGAUAUGCGGAGGAACACUGAUGGCGAAGGCAAUCCCCUGGACCUGUACUGACGCUCAUGCACGAAAGCGUGGGGAGCAAACA
rnacentral:rRNA from 1 species